CGGCCAAUGCGGAAGGAGACGCUAUGGACUUACUGUUCCCGAAAGACUCCUGGUCGGCAGUUGGCUUUUGAGUGAGGCGCUCUUGGCUGUGUCUAUGGGCCAAAAACCACACGUUCCCGCUAUUUGACAAAAGCUCAGGGCCAUACCGUUUGCUGAGGCCAAGUCGAUGCGCUCCAGCACGACGCGCAGGCCGUCCAGACUGGAUAUGGGGGCACCCAAAUCCAAAGGUUCCGUCUGGCCGCUCUACAACAAAGCAGACACAACGCUUUUGAAGUGCCGGCAGAACACGGGAUAAAAGAAGAGAUCCACUGCCGCCAUGUUGACAUUGAUGCUGUGACACAGAACCUGUAGGACUUCCCGAAUGGAGGCGCCGGGCCGAAGGUUGAUGGAGGAGCUGGAGCCAUCGGGUAGCGUCACACUGCAGUGUUUCGGGGAGC